rnacentral:lncRNA from 1 species
AAACUCAUAUUAUACUCAAAACAUUUUUCUCAAAUUAAUAUAAUAAUCCAAAAUCCAUAUUUCACUAAAAUCCGAGUGAGCUUUGGCUCAUCGCCCGAAUUUAUAGUUAUUUAGGUAAGAAACACUUUGCUAAUUAUAUCCAAUAUAAUUCUUGGUUGUCAGACGAGAUCUUAUGUCUUAUCCAACCUAUGUCUCUAAGCCCAAAAAUGUUUUGCUAGCCUAGUCAAGUAAACCAAUCUUGUUUCACAUGGUAACCGUUACCAUCCACCUCACUCA